GUGCUCGUCUUGGCAGCACAUAUUCUAACAUUGCAAUGACAGGGAGAAGAUUAGCAUUGUCCCUGCACAAAAGAUAGGGAGCAAUCUUGU
ensembl:snRNA U6 U6 spliceosomal RNA